rnacentral:rRNA from 1 species
ACGAAAUGGUUGUAACCUACCCGUCUUGGAACACGGACCAAGGAGUCUGACAUGUGUGCGAGUCAACGGGCCAGUAAACCCGUAAGGCGUAAGGAAGCUGAUUGGCGGGAUCCCCUUGAGGGUUGCACCGCCGACCGACCUUGAUCUUCUGAGAAGGGUUCGAGUGAGAGCAUACCUGUCGGGACCCGAAAGAUGGUGAACUAUGCCUGAGCGGGGCGAAGCCAGAGGAAACUCUGGUGGAGGCUCGUAGCGAUUCUGACGUGCAAAUCGAUCGUCAAAUUUGGGUAUAGGGGCGAAAGACUAAUCGAACCGUCUAGUAGC